UCAAUCUGUUUGUUAUACUAAGUAUAUUAAUGAGAAUAUAUAUAUACAUUUUUUUUUUUUUUACAAUAGGUUCCUGUCCUGAGACCACAGCAGGAUGUGCCUUGGACAAAGGCUUGGAUUCCUGGAUCAUCUGGUGACUUCAAGUAUCUGGUAAAGAGUUAUGUCUUCUUAAAUUUGCACCAAAGUUCAUGCAGAACUGAACAUGAAAAUCCCAACAGCAUGAUGUCGUCUUGUCUUGAAUGUUGAUCUUGUUUCAUACGCAGGUUUGCAAUGUUAUUUUCUCUUAGAAAAUAAAAUAUGUUGGUGUGCCUUCUUUAAAGAAUGG
rnacentral:lncRNA from 12 species